UCCUGCCUCAGCCUUCGGAGUCACUGGAAUAACAGAGUCUCUAUCUGCAUUGAAGAUACGUGAGAUUCAUCCAGACUUUCACAGAGGUUCCUGUGUGCUAACCUGAGAAUGUCUUCAAAAUUGAACUCUAUUCAUAAGCACUUGGAGCAGGGCUGGUGAUCUGUCUGAGAUUUGCUUCAAAAUAAUCCCAAGGUAACUUUUACAGGUUUGAUUGGGUUUUACAAAAACAACUUUGUAGCUCCUAAUAGAAUAUUGUUUUUCCGCUCAAUUAAUGGGACAGGAUGCUAUUUAAAACAGGAUACCUUACCACAACAGAUAUCUUAGAAAGCUUAUUUGCUGAUCUUUUAUUUAAGAUUUUGCAGCUAUAUUCAUGAGUGAGAUUGACCUAUAAUAUUCCUUCCUCGUAGUGACCUUUCAUAUUCUCGUAAUGUAUCAGUUAAGGUUUAAUCACUCUGGAUGUUACAGAACAAGAGAUUUAUUAUACCAAUUAUACCUUCUACAUUUGCAGAAGUUGAUUAAUAAGUUCCUGUGAGGCUGUUGUCUUUGUAUCUGAUGUUGUGCUUAAAGUCAACAUAGGUUGCCUGUCUGGCAGUCAGCAAUAGAGCUGACUAAGAAAUGGUCUGAGGAGAGCAAAGAUGAUCUCAAACUUAUAGGGAAAAAAAUCAGGAAUGUGUCUGUCUAUCACCAUCUUUGUCCUCAAUGAUACAGAUGACCUAAGGAGAAAAGGGUGGCCUUCACCACAAAACUGCACAUAUACCUGGCCUGGGUUCUGGAAGGGUCAAAGGGUAAGAUCUGGCGAAACGAGGACAAGCUUUACCUCUGUAUGUUGCUGAAUGACCAGUGACAUGUGCAAACACCCACGGCACCUGGUACCCUACACCAAAAUUCAGAAUCCCAGUGGCAGCUUCCUCACACUGCCAUCCAACUCUUACAUUACCUUUUCUUCCAGCCAGUCUCACUCGGAACAACACAAAAAGGGAAACAGAUCCAACAUAACCAAGCUGACACAAUACGGAGCCACCACAGAUGGCAGGGUUAGUUAUACUUCACUUCAUGACAGGAGUUGGGGACUAGUCUCUUGUUUUCUCUAUUAUUGUGGUUCACAUACUAGAAAUAUUUCCGCCUAUAAUGCUUGGUGGAAGUCACUAGUAAAAUAAUCUGCUUUUAGAGUUCUUUUGAGGAAUUUUAAAAACUACUUAUACAUAUACAUAUUUGAAUUUACAACUAUUUAAGUUCUGCCUUCUAAACUCAGCUUAGAUCAGUUGUGUUAUUUAGAAAAUUUUCCACUUUGUCUUAAUAUUCAAAAUUAUUGGCAUUAUGUUGUUACAUAAUAAUCACUUAUUGUAAACAUCUCAGUGAUAUCUGCUAUUAUAUUCUCUUCCUAAAUCCAGCUGUUACUUGCACCUCUUUUACGAUGACAAGUUUGGACAGAGGUUUACGAAUCAUACUAGUCCUUCAAAGAACCAUCCUUUGGCUUUGUUGAGUCUUCCUGUCUUCAUUUUUCACUUUAUUAAUUUCUGCUUGCAGCUUUCUUAUUUUCUUCAUCAAUUUGUGGAAAGUGAUUGUUUUAUUCUUUACAUAAGUUUGAUUUCUUGACCUAUGAGUUACUUUAAUAUUUUUUCUUAACUUCCGAAUAAUUUUUUUUUUCUAAUUACAUUUUGUUAAUGAUUUCCCCAUUAAAAUUACUGAGGCCAGUUAUAUGUUCCAAAUCAGAGGUCAGCAAAUUAUGGCUCAUGGACCAAAUUUAGCCUAUCACCUGUUUUUGUAAAUAAAAGUUUUAUUGUAACAGAACUAAACUCAAUUGUUUAUAUAUUAUCUCUAUUUUCUUUUACAUAACAUCUGCAAAGUUGAGACUGUUCUCAACUAGUCCCACAAAGUUGACCCAGGAGACUAAAAUAUUUACUCAUUAAUUUUUUACAGGAAAAGUUUGUCAACCUCUGGACUUUAUAAUAUUAGAAAUUUAAAAUUUACUGAGACAUGCUUUAAGGUCCUGUGUAUACUGAACUUUUACAAAUGUUCAAAACAUCCAUGAAAAGAAUGAGGAUAUGAAGUUCCAUGUAUCAAUUAGGUCUACCUUUUAAAAUUAUGCUACAUGUUUAUAUAAUGAGCAUGUUUGUCCGCUUAACCAAUCAAUGACCAAAAUGAUUCGAUUAAAAUAUUUUUCCUUAAAACUUAGGUCAAUUUUUGAAUUUUAUAUUUUAAAGCAAUUAUGUGAAUAAGAAUUGUUACAGCUUUUUAGUAAAUUCAACCUCUUACCAUUAUAUAGUGGCAUCUAGUAGUUGUUUUCCUUUAUUUUUACUUUUUAUUUUUUUGGAGACAGGUCCCACUCUGUUG